UUUAUAAUUUUAACUUGACGUCAGCGGAAAAGUGGUCACAUGACUAAGGGAAUCCUUAGCAAAACAACACUGUUGGAAAUACGGAGUUAUCACUAGUGCGUGAACAAGAUAAACACUACUAAACAACACACUAGAAUUAGAUCCAGAGUCAGACAGAAAUCAUGAGCGCAGUACACCCAGCAUCUGCCCCACCGCCAUAUGACAGUGCUUAUCCACCACCUCAAGGGUAUGGACAAAGUGCCCCUUACCCACCCCCAGGCUACGGUGCUCCUCCUCCAGCUGGGUAUGGGCCGCCCCCACCAGCUGGAUAUGGACCGCCCCCACCGGCAGGGUUUGUACCACCUCCACAAGGCUAUGGAGCUUACAACCAACAACCAUUUGGAUAUGGACAGCCUGGUCAGUACCACCAUCAGCAUCCGCCAAACCAUCCACCACAACAAGUGGUCUAUGUGCAUGAGGAAAGACGGAAGAGUCAUGACAACUCUGCAGAGACUUGUUGCAUUAUAGCUUUAUGCAGUGCCUUGUUGUGUUGCUGUUUCUUUGAUUAGUUUGGACCUUCUUACAAACACAACGGAACAUUCCACAUUAUUCUCAGUUAAACGAAAUCAACAUUGCUCAUUUGCAGUAUUUGUGUAACAAAAUCUUUCUUUCUACGUGUUUGAUUUAAUGUAACUGUUUAAUGGUAUAUUGAUUUCAAAUAAUUUUGUACCUUGUAUGUAUUGAUAUUGAGUAAUGAAAAUUAUGGACUGAGACUAGGAGAAAUUUUAACAGAAACAAAAUGGGCAAAAUAUGAUAAAAAAAUUUAUUUUGUUAGUCUGUCAUUUUAGUUUGUAAUUGGAAUUACUUGUAAAUAUUUGUUAUCCAAUUUUGUACAUUUUUUUUGUUUCUAUUCUAUGUUUACAAUUGAUUGAAUAGAGACUAGAAACAAAUAUUACUUUGGAAUAUUAAUUAAAGAAAAUGUGAGAAAAUAAAAGUCUAUGGUAUUUCUACGUCUUAAUUUAUACAAAUUUUGAUUGAACUAUAAAUUUAUGAAAUAUCAGUAUCUACAGUAAUUUUCUGUCCCGAUGUUGGUUUAUAUUAAGUAAGAGAAAAAUAAGAAAUUGCAAGGCAAUAAACAUUUUUUUAUGCAUUUUAAUUUAUAAGAUUAUCAAUUUGAUAAUUUAGUUUUGUUUUUAAAUAUUUUGGGGGUGCAGUGGCUGAGUGGUUAAGCGCUUGGGUUCCCAACCUUGGGUCCUGGGUUCAAAUUUCUGUGAAGAUUGGGAUUUUGAAUUUCGGGAUUUUUAGGGCGCCCCUGAGUCCACCCAGCUCUAAUGGGUACCUGACUUAAGUUGGGGAAAGUAAAGGCGGUUAACUGUUGGCCAUAGAAACAGAUGACCUUAACAUCAUCUGCCCCAUAGAUCGCAAGAUCUGAAAGGGAAACUUUAAUCUGAAUCUAAAAACUCAGUAGUUUUGUUGAUAACAACAGCACACUUAUACCAUUAAUUAAAAUAACAGACAUUUUUUUAUUUAAUCAGAAUAGUCAGAGCUAUGGUUAUACAGACACUCUCUCAUUGGUCCAUGGACUAUUUUGUUUUCUUUCCUUUGGAAGCUUUCUUGGAAUAAUUUACUGUCAUUUAUUUGCUGUACAUAUGGAGGACUACAAAAUCAGUGGUUCUAAUGUUUUGUUGUUCCACUGUGAAUUUAUGCUAUUAAUAUUGUUGUAUGAAAUGAAUCCACCCUGCUUUAGUCAGGUAGCUAAUAAUAAUAAGAUGAUGAUUUUUCUAUCCUGCAGAAAAUUAGUUUUACAGCUCUGUUUUACGAAACAAUACAGCACUACUUGUACAAAAUGAAUGUCUUCUUGUCAAAACAAAUACUUGAUAGACAGCUUACAUUCAUGUGUUAAUCACUUUUAAGUGCAAACUUCAAAGGCCAUUGAGCUGAGUUUAAGGAUAACAAAAUAUACAAAUAAAUCUGAAAAAAUAUUUGUAUAUACCGGUACAUGUACAUUACUGAUUACUCACAGCCCAGCGCUUGAGUGUCUCUGCACCAGUGCUUCGCAAUCUUUAUUCUAAGUACUGAAAUAAAUUUUUCAUUUUAAUGUAACUCUUAAGGUGCAUUAUAUAUAUAUAUACAUAGUGCUUUUUUUUGUUUUUUGUGACAGGUGCUUUUUUUGUGACAAUGCAGUGUGUACCGGCACCUUUUUUCGUGUGGGGAAAAUUACUUUUCUUAAAUUUUAAUGUUUAUUAUUAAUGUAUUAGAAGUUAAAAGUUGGGCAAUUUAUCACUGAGUACUGGCAUCUAUUUUUUUUUUUUUUUACAAAAAAGCACUGUAUGUAUAUAUAUAUGUGUGUGUGUGAGAUAUUUUACAGUAUUAGUUUACAUACUCAGAUACCUGAACUGACUGACAAAGUUACACAUAAAAUAGUAUCAUCUCCCAUGUCUAUACUGCUGUCAGCCAAUUUGUUUUCCUGUUUAUUGAAAUAAAAACUGAAGACUAGCCCUUAACCUAACUCCUACAUUCUGCAAAAAUUGUUAGCAAAGCAAAUACUGGAAAAAGCCAAUCAGUGGAGUUUCUCUAGUGCUGGUCCUUAAGUAGAAAGAAAUGGUGUAUUUCCAAGUGCAGUACAUCGAUUUAUAAAAUUUAAUUUAAAAAAAAAUCCAAAGCCAUUUGUCUCUGGGUAAAACAAACUACAUAUUAGUAAUCUACAUAUUUCAAUAUGAAUUCUUACAUUUAUGUAGAAGUAUGAUUCUAGAUAUCUUUUCAUGUAAACUGAUACAGUAUAUACAUAAAAUUGUUAUUGCUGCACUGACUUUAAAACAAGCCUACAUGAUGCAAUGGAAUAUAUCUAUAGAUCUGUAUUGUUUAUUGAUUUGACCUAUAUUCAGCUGAAUUAGGUCAUAUGUUACAACCAUUUGUCUCACAUUCUCAUACAUAUAUUAAGAAUUCCUUAAUGUAAAUCUCAUUAUGUAUAUAUAUAUAUAGCAGCAUUAUCAUUUUAAUAAUUGAUAUAUAUUUAUUUCAACAUUCCAAUAUUUAAAAGUCUUAAAAAAAAAAAGAAUGUUAUAUUCAAGAAACAUUUUACCUCUUGUUGCAUGAAUUACCUCCCUUUUACCAUGUUCUCCUGUUUACAUUUUUAAUCUAAGUCAUAUUUCAGAACUAAUUUUUUUUUUUAGAAGUGUAACUUAACCAUUUUUUCCACAAGAGUUUGUAAAUCCAUAUUGAAUUUGUAAUCAGUUUUUUUUUUCUUUUUGAAUAUCAUCUGCUUUGGGUAAAUUUAGACAUAGUUUUUGUGUCUCUGUGGUAUAAGAAUUGCGUUAGUAAAGUCUCUGUAUAUUACAAGAAAUCAAUUUUUUAAUAUUUUUUUUUCCAAGGAAAAAAACUACAUGUUUUUGUGUUUAGUUAACAGAAAUGGCAAGUUUAUAAUAGCAGUCCCAUAUACCAUGGGGUGGAAGGCUUGGCAGAGUUAUUGACAUACAUGACGAUUGACCUAGGGACACGCACGCAUAGGAAAUAAACAUCAUUUUUUUUUUAUACAGGAAAGUCUAUAUCUUAUAAGAAGAAGGCUGCUUGUGUUAGAAUACUUUCAAGUGCAUAAACAGGUUAGGUUAAAUUGAAUUUAUUUUUAUUUCUAUCUAAGAGAAAAUCUAGAUUCACACAUAAAUCUUCAUUAUAAAUAUGUUUUACUUAAAAAAGACAUUCCAUAGAAAGAAAAUAAUACAACAAAUAUUACACCAUUCCAUUACAAAAUAGCCACAUAAUUUCUGAAUAUCUAUAUCAAAGACAAUUUGUGUUGUGCAAUCUGUUUGUUGAAUAUCUUAGAAUAGAAGUACUUCUAGUCCCAGUAAAAGCACUGUCCCAAUGAUCCCAGGUUCAAAUCCUGACCGCAUCCACUCUGGUGUUCUGAAGAAGGACUAGCUAUCUUCAUUUCAAAGGGAAACUUACACAAAUAUCAGUUCUGAUUGUACAGAAAAAUAAAAAAGUUUGUUGUCUAUGUGGCUUCUUCUUCUUCUAGCCAGCUUUAUUGCUGCUGAGCUGUGAGCUCUUUUGCAGACUGUGCCAAGGAAAAGAAGUGUGCUGUUUUCUUUAGUUGUUCAGCACUGCCGUACAGGGUGUUGGUUAUGUUGGGCUGUAGUGGAAGUAGGGUCUGCCUAAGGUGGAUUUGGGAGGGGCAUUCAAAGAGGAUAUGGUUUACGGUUUCAAAGGGGUGGGUGCGGUGUCUGCAAAUGGGGAGUUGUGUGGAGUUUAUUUUGUUCAGAUGGUAAUUUGAUAGUGGUGUGUGUCCUGUUCUUAGUUGGAAAAUUGUAGAUUGUUCUUUGCGGGGGAGGAAGCUAAUACUGUCUUGUUUGUUAGGCGAAGUCAUUUCUUUGUACAUGGCUCUGCCUGUGUUUCCUGAUGCCCAUUGGUUGAACCACUCCUCUUUGUGAUUGUUGACUAACAUUGACCUUAGGGUGAGGUAGUUAACAGGUCUAUCUGGUUGUUCCAUAGAUGAACCUGCCUUUGAUAGCUUAUCUGCCUUUUCAUUUCCCAUGAUGCCAAUGUGUCCAGGGAUCCAUUGUAGUGUGAUAUUGAUAUUUAAUUUUGAUAUCAUCUGUUGGAUUAUCACAAUUAGUGUUGUCAACUCUCUUGGGCUGUUUGAGGUGCUGCUGUUAAGUGCUUGCAGAGUAGAUUGGGAGUCUGUCUAAGUGGCUAAAAAACUAGGAUGCCAUAGUCAUGUGGUAUUUGGUCUGUUGUCCCAAUGUUGUAUCCUGCUCUCUGCCAUCCCAUGCAAGAGCUAUGGGCAAGGAUGUAAUAAUUUCAUUACUAAAUGGAAUGUCUUGAAACAUAAAAUAAAACAAAUGAAAUAGUUUCUGUCCUGACAGCAACUGCAGCUAAAUUGUAAUGCAGAAUAAAAGCUUUUCUUUUUUUCAUUGCACCCAAUGUUUUGUUUUCAGUGGGAUGUCAAAAGGGCCUGUAUUUAUUAUCAUCUCUAUAGCAAUGCAUAUUUAAAUCAAAAUUUUACUAAUUUCUUUAAAUUAUGAUUGAUAUUCAGAUAUUUAUAUUAAUUUAUACUUUGAUCUGGUAAUUUAAAAUAUAUUGAUGUACACCACAGAUUUGUUCUUUAAAAUAAUGGUUAAAUGUCUUUCUUAAAUAUUUUUAGCACCACAGUAAGUCUGCACACAUGUAAAAAUAUGAUUAUUGUUUUUUAAUUGUUUUUGUUGGAACACAUUUUUUUUCAUAGGAUUUGUUUAUGUUGUUUGUAAACCACAUUUAUAACUUGAAAUAUAGAUCUACUACAGUGUUAGAGGGGAACUAGAAAGACAUUGCACUGUACUGUAUUUCAAAAGAGGAGAAAUCACAAGUACAACCUGGCAAGAGUUCCUAUUGCUAGUGAACCUUGUUUACUCAAUAAGCAGCUUAUAUUAUUGUUACUUUUUUUUUUCACUGUACCAAUGCCAUAUAUUUUUUUUUAUAACUAAAGGGGCCUUAAAUUAAUUUUUGUAAACAUACUGGUUUUAUUUGUAUUGUUUCGAAACAUUAACAAAAUUUUUAAGCUAAAUUCUUGAAUUUGAGCCAGUUUAAUUCCUUAAGUCAUCAGCCUUGUAAAAGUAUAGGACAUUUCUGUAAAUACAAGUUUUAUUUUUUUCUA